CCGCCUUGAAUUAAGCAUAUCAAUAAGCGGAGGAAAAGAAACCAACAGGGAUUGCCUCAGUAACGGCGAGUGAAGCGGCAACAGCUCAAAUUUGAAAUCUGGCCCCCUCGGGGUCCGAGUUGUAAUUUGGAGAGGAUGCUUCGGGUGUGGCCCCGGUCUAAGUUCCUUGGAACAGGACGUCACAGAGGGUGAGAAUCCCGUACGUGCCCGGUGGCCGCCCCCGUGUGAAGCUCCUUCGACGAGUCGAGUUGUUUGGGAAUGCAGCUCAAAAUGGGUGGUAAAUUUCAUCUAAAGCUAAAUAUUGGCCAGAGACCGAUAGCGCACAAGUAGAGUGAUCGAAAGAUGAAAAGCACUUUGGAAAGAGAGUUAAACAGUACGUGAAAUUGUUGAAAGGGAAGCGCUGGCAACCAGACUUGCGCGGGGUCGAUCAUCCGGUGUUCGCACCGGUGCACUCGGCCCCGCGCAGGCCAGCAUCGGUCUGGGCGGCUGGAUAAAGGCCUUGGGAAUGUGGCUCUCUUCGGGGAGUGUUAUAGCCCAAGGUGCAAUGCAGCCCGCCUGGACCGAGGACCGCGCUCCGGCUAGGAUGCUGGCGUAAUGGUUGUCAGCGACCCGUUGAAAAACACGGAA
rnacentral:rRNA from 1 species